GUGCUCCCUUCAGCAGCACAUAUACUAAAAUUGGAAGGAUACAGAGAAGAUUAGCAUGGCCCCUGCACAAGGAUGACAUGCAAAUUCAUGAAGCGUUCCAUAUUUUU
ensembl:snRNA U6 U6 spliceosomal RNA